rnacentral:rRNA from 1 species
GAUGAACGCUAGCGACAGGCCUAACACAUGCAAGUCGAGGGGCAGCACGAGGUAGCAAUACUUGGGUGGCGACCGGCGGACGGGUGAGUAACACGUAUGCAACCUGCCCGUAAUCGGGGGAUAACCCGGAGAAAUUCGGACUAACACUCCAUGUAUCUGUAUUAUUGCAUGAUAAAACAGAUAAACGCAAGGAUUACGGAUGGGCAUGCGGAUGAUUAGCUAGUUGGAGGGGUAACGGCCCGCCAAGGCGACGAUCAUUAGGGGUUCUGAGAGGAAGGUCCCCCACAUUGGAACUGAGAAACGGUCCAAACUCCUACGGGAGGCAGCAGUGAGGAAUAUUGGUCAAUGGGCGAGAGCCUGAACCAGCCAAGUCGCGUGAAGGAAGAAGGUCUUAUGGAUUGUAAACUUCUUUAGCAGGGGAAUAAAGGUUAUUACGAGCUAAUAAUUUGCAGGUACUCUGCGAAAAAGGAUCGGCUAACUCCGUG